rnacentral:snRNA from 1 species
GGAUAUGAAGGUAAUCUGGCUGCAACAUUUGUCACCCCACUGAUCGCCAGGGUUGAUUCAGCUGAUCUGGCUGGCUAGGUGGGUGUCCUCUUCUCCCUCAUUGCUCCAUGUGUAUCCCUCCUGAAGCUGUGCGCCCAGUCGAAGAGGACCACCUUCCGCGAUAGUGGAGGACCAUUCUUCAGUCAAGGGUAUGUGAGUAGCUGUGCUCCCCUGCUAGAACCUCCAAAUGGGCUCUCGAAACUUACUACAAAGCUACAGUGAUCACAUCGCUGGUGUUGGCAUAAAGGCAGGCAUAUAGACCGAUGGAACAGAAUAGACAGUCUAGAAAUAAAUACUUAGCUA